AUAGAGAAAGAGAGGGAGGACAAAACAGACAGAAAGACAGAGAGAGAGGCAGUCUCUUGUGGAGAGAACGUAAAGAAGCUGAAUUCUGGCUGCGAAAGGGGGGAGAACAGGCUGAAAAAUACAACCCACAUGCAUGUUAAGUAGUUAGUCAUUCAACAGAACAGCAACAGCCGUAACUGUGUGACAGCACUUGGAGAACUGCCUGCAUCGAACAAGUACAGCAAGAGAAAGCAAUAAACUGGGGAAAAAAACUCGGAAUGAGACAAGAAUAACAAGUGAAACAAGACUGGACGGCAGUCAAAAGGCAGCCUGUACGCAACUCUGUGGAGGAGUUAAACAGUCAGCCAGGCUGCUUGUGGAAUUCCUAAAUCAGCUACUGGAACUGAAGCACAGGAAAAAGGGGCAGCACAUUUUUCCCCUCAGUGACAGCUGUGACCAGCCGAGAGAAUGGAUGCCAAACAGGAAGUACUUGAUAUCCUCCAAAAGAUCUGGAUCAAGCUACAGACCCUCCCUGAAGCGAACGCCAUCGAGAAAGGAGGCUUCCUCAUACUCCUCCUCUUCAUUUUGACAUUCCUGGCCUUAGUGGUGUUUGCUUGUGCACAGUGCUGCUGUAGCUGUGGACGAAACCGAAGAAGUAACAACUCUGUCCUCUGAACCGUCUCUACAGUUCAGUCAACCAUGGAGAAAUACCAGACAAUGAAAGAGGGACAGAGAAAAGAGGGGACAAACAGAGGUCACUACAAAAGCUUUGAGGAAAUGAGUUUUUGCACUAGGCCUUUUCACGCCUGCCUCCAUGACACAGUAAAAAGUAAAAAGGAAAUGAAUUCAGAGGAGAGAGAAUGGCCUGCUCAGCCCUCUGGUGUCAACUGAAGGAACUUCAGUGUAUACAGAAUGCACUAAAACUGCAAAUGUGGCUUUUACUCUUGUACAUAUAUGUCAUGUUUGUGAAUAAUCUCAAAAUUGUAAUCUGUACUAUACCUAUUAGGUGUGUAUGCGAGCAACGGAUCAGGGAAGAAGUGUCAAAGCUAUGCAAGCCAACUGGAAAGGGAAAUGGUGGCUCAGUGGUUACGGCUGUGGGCUAUAGAUCGGAAGGUUGUGAGUUUAAAUCCCAGAAUGACCAAGCUUUCCCUCAGUUGGAUCUUGUCUCAAUUGUCACUUUAAAUAAAAGCAACAACCAAAUGAUCAAAUGUAAAUGAAAGAAACUUGGGAAUGGUUGGGAUGAACAGCAGAGCCAAUGCAAUUCAGUAUUUAUUCAAUUUAAAUGCGUUUUUCUUUUUUUUUUGUAUUAUUUGACUGAAGUACCAAGGUAGGAGCUAGUAAGAUUUUGUUUUUACAACUAAUACAUAAUGUGAUCAUUAUAAGAAUUCCAAACGAUCACAUCAAAACUUUAACUGACAAUUAUUACAUAAAUCAUAACUCAUCUCAUAAGGAAUUUUUCAUACACAAUGUCAAAUAUUUCUAAGACUUUUAGCUCAUGGAAUCUUAGAUGUAGCACCUUUAAGCAUUAUUAAUUUAAACAAUUUAUAAUAAAACAUGUUCCUUUCUUUUAUACAAACGUACCUAAAACCUAUAAUACAUUGAAUAAAUACAAAUCUAUUAACUGUUAA